GACAGAGGGUGCAAACGUUGUUCGGAUUUACUGGGCGUAAAGCGCGUGUAGGCGGCUUUGCAAGUCGGAUGUGAAAGCCCACGGCUCAACCGUGGAAGUGCAUCCGAAACUGCAUGGCUGGAGUCUCGGAGAGGAAGGUGGAAUGCUUGGUGUAGAGGUGAAAUUCGUAGAUAUCAAGCAGAACACCUGCGGCGAAGGCGGCCUUCUGGACGAUGACUGACGCUGAGACGCGAAAGCGUGGGGGAGCAAACAGG
rnacentral:rRNA from 1 species